UACGUAGGCAGCAAGCGUUGUUCGGAGUUACUGGGCGUAAAGGGUGCGUAGGCGGCUUUUUAAGUUUGGUGUGAAAUCUCCCGGCUCAACUGGGAGGGUGCGCCGAAUACUGAGAGGCUAGAGUGUGGGAGAGGAAAGUGGAAUUCCUGGUGUAGCGGUGAAAUGCGUAGAGAUCCGGAGGAACACCAGUGGCGCAGGCGGCUCUCUGGGUCGGCCCUGACGCUGAGGCGCGAAAGCGUGGGGAGCGAACGGG
rnacentral:rRNA from 1 species